CUCUCUCUCUCUCUCUCUCUCUCCGGUGGUGGAAUCCGCCCUAUUCGAAACCCUAGCCUCCUAUCCCUAAAGCCUCGAUCUCUCCAAUCCAUCACUCGAAACCCUAGAUCCCACAAUCCCCCUCUGUCUCUCCCUCCCCCCAAAAUGCUACAUCCUAACCCCCCGCCGGAGCAACCCGAUGGCCAGACCGCCGCCGAGAGGCUGCUGGUCUUCGAGAACGGCCAGGCCGCCGUGACCCACAGCGGCAACGACAGGGAGGUGUCGGGCGGGGAGGAGGAGACCAGCAGCCGGCGCCGGCGCCGCAGCCGCUGGGACCCCCCGGCGGAGUCCGGCGAUAGCGCCGGCGAUGGCUCUACCGGUGGCCGGAAGCGGAAGUCCCGGUGGGCCGAGGAGGAGCCGAAUCCGCUUGUCCAGCUCUCGGACUUCAUGAAGGACCUCGCCGCCGAUCUCGACCCUGAGGUUCAGGCCCUCAACCUUAGGCUCCUCGAGAUCAGCCGCCUUCUCCAGUCCGGCAUGCCCCUCGAUGACCGUCCGGAGGGCGCCCGAUCUCCCUCCCCCGAGCCGAUUUACGACAACAUGGGUAUCAGGAUCAACACCAGGGAGUAUCGGGCACGCGAGCGGCUCAACAAGGAGCGGCAGGAGAUCAUCUCCCAGCUUAUCCGGCGGAACCCGGCGUUCAAGCCCCCGGCCGAUUACCGCCCUCCCAAGCUCCAGAAGAAGCUCUACAUCCCCAUGAAAGAGUACCCGGGAUACAAUUUUAUUGGCCUCAUCAUUGGGCCUAGGGGCAACACCCAGAAGAGGAUGGAGAAGGAGACCGGCGCCAAGAUCGUGAUCCGGGGCAAAGGAUCGGUCAAAGAAGGGAGAUUGCAGCAGAAGAGGGACUUGAAGCCGGACCUCUCGGAAAACGAGGACUUGCACGUGUUGGUCGAGGCUGAGACUCAGGAAUCUUUGGAUGCCGCUGCUGCCAUGGUGGAGAAGCUCUUGACUCCUGUCGACGAAGUACUGAACGAACACAAGAGGCAGCAGCUGAGAGAGCUUGCCGCGCUUAAUGGAACCAUCAGGGAUGACGAGUUCUGUAGGCUGUGCGGCGAGCCCGGGCACCGGCAGUAUGCCUGCCCUUCCCGAACGACCACCUUUAAGAGCGAUGUCCAGUGUAAGAUUUGUGGCGAUGGAGGGCACCCCACGAUCGAUUGCCCCAUGAAAGGAUCCGGGAAGAAGAUGGAUGAUGAGUACCAGAACUUCUUGGCCGAGCUUGGUGGGACUGCUCCGGAUUCUCUAACCAAGCAGAGCUCAGCAUUGGCUAUCGGUUCGGGCUCUUCAGGGAGCAAUCCACCUUGGGCUAGUGGUAGUGGGGCUGGGGGCACGGCGGGUACUGGAGUGGCCAAUGGGAUCAAGAAGGAAUAUGACGAGACAAACUUAUAUAUAGGAUAUCUGCCGCCCACCCUCGAUGAUGAUGGACUGAUUAGAUUGUUCUCCUCAUUUGGGAGUAUUGUGAUGGCUAAGGUUAUCAAGGAUAGGACCACUGGGCUGAGCAAAGGUUAUGGCUUUGUGAAGUAUGAAGAUGUUUCUAUGGCUAAUGCCGCAAUCGCUGCUAUGAAUGGGUAUCAUCUAGAAGGCAGAGUUAUAGCUGUAAGAGUUGCAGGCAAGCCUCCUCAGCCUGCUGUGCCUCCUGUUCCUCCAGCUCCUGUUACACCUACAUAUCCUUCUCAACAGUUUAUGGCUGGUGCACCUGUUGCAAACCCUCCACCACCACCUGGUAGUUAUGUACCAGUUCCAUGGGGUCUUCGAGUCCCCCCUCCAUAUGCUCCAUAUUCUAUGCAGCCACCAGGUUCGAGCAUGUACACCCCUGUUCAAGGCCAGUCUGUGCCACCUUAUGGCAUGCAAUACCCUCCAUCGGCACAAACUGCUCCUCCAGGCACUGCACCUCCAACUGCUCCUCCCGGCACUCCACCUCAAACUGCUUCUCUGGGCACUGCACCUCAAUCUGCAUCUUCAAGUGAUUCAAUGCAGAAUUACCCUCCUGGGGUGCAAUCACAAAGCACUACCACACCAGUUCAGGCUGUACCGAACAAUGUUUACGGCAGUACUGUUGCUCCCAACGUUCUUCCGAUGUAUCCACCUCCUCCACCUUAUGGAUAUGCACCUUAUUACUCUGCAGUUACACCAGUGCCACCUCUGGCUGUUGAUCCCACUCAGACCAUUGCAAAUGCACCAUGGGCCUCCAAUCCAUCGGUACCGCAGCCUGCUUCAACUGCAGAACAAUCGGCAACUUAUGGUGCUGACACGGAGUAUGAGAAACUCAUGUCAGAGAUAAAGUGAUGUUUUUGCUUCCGCAUAGAAAGAAACUGCUGGGCUGAAAGACCUGAUCAUUUUCACAGUGACAAAUUUAUGUACUUGAUACGUCUGUUGCUUGAUGGUUACAAUUGUUCUGUGGUUUUAGAUUUCUUUCUCGUGCAGAGGGGUUUUCUGCAAACUGUGCACCAGGAUACUUUCCUGUACGCUUUCAUCUGGAACUUCUUUAGGGGCUAUUUGCUGGUUACUUCAUGAUGCUUCUUAUUUGAGACCUGUUAUAUGACUUAUUGUUCUUUGGCUGAUUAUCUAGUUCUCUAACUGCUUAAUAUUUCAUUGUUAUUGGGUGAUCUUCUUCAUUUGCUGUUCUACACAUUUCAAAUGCGUGGAUCUGGCUGAUAUUUCUGGCUGUCACACUUCAGAGCAAGCCUUCUGGUUAUGCUGUUAGCAGAGUGGGUAAAAGUUCAAUUUGCUCCACAACUCACAUAUUGAUGCUUUUCAUUUUUGCUUUGAGUUGUUUUCCAGUUGAUAGUGAAAGCUAGGAGGACAUGUUGCCAAGAUUGAUAAUCACUAGUUCAUCAGGUAUUGCCAGGAAUUCAGAUGGAAUGGGGCAUAUUUGAAAAUUUUUCACAUAUAUGCUUUUUGUCCCUUUGUUCAUUUUGAUAUUCUAACGUAGUUCUGCAGCACAGGUGAUGUCUGCCAAGCUAUAUGGUUACAUUGUGUUUUAAAUGUAUGAUGUCUUUCUUUGCUUACUGCAUUACUGGUGCCACUUCCUCAGCAUGCGAGUUCUUCUAUCCUUUGACAAGAUUUUAUUCUCACAACCUAUGGUUUUACUGGCUUCUUUUCUGAAAAUUAAUGAUUUAUCAUGUUAUGCAUUCUAACUUGUUAGUGACAUGAUUGUUGCAAGUGCAAUACGGCUUGAUGCAAAAUGGAGAAUGUAGAUAACUGAACUGCUCUAGCUUGGUCAUUAUACAUAGUGGGGCUACUGGUAAGGUGCAGAUAUUACCAUCUGCAGGAGGUCAAAGAAAUUCACCACAGUUCAGCGGGGGAGGGCAAAUUCCUUAGGAGCAGCAAUCUCAAACUUUAAUCUUUUAUCAUGUAUGCUCUUCUCAAUGUAGAACAUAUAAAUUUGGAAAUGUUAAUUCUCAAAAUCUGUAGGGAAGUAUGGAAACAUCCCUAUAAUAAGAAAAACUAGGAAUGCUUGAAUCAUAUGAAUUGUUGAGAUUCAGUUUGAUAGUAUACUUCAAGCAUUGAACUAA